AGACCCCUUGAAGACGACGAGGUAGAUAGGGCAGAGGUGGAAGCGUAGUAAUACGUGAAGCUGACUGUUACUAAUCGGUCGAGGGCUUAACCAAA
rnacentral:rRNA from 1 species